AUAGAUUUGAACUAUUUGGCACAAAAGACUUUCAUGUUGGGCAGGCUGACCAGUACCUGGGACACAAAGAAGGAUGUGAGUCAUCCCUGCCCAAUGUAUCCAUGCUGUAUACAUCGCCUGCCCAUGAAUUGCUUAGAAGACAUCUUGGACAUCAGAUUCGCCAUCACACUUGCGUUCCAGUUACUUUCACUUUACUAAUAAAGGCCCCACUCCACAAGAGCAAUGAGGCUUCACGCUAUGCCACAGAGAAGCUGAAGUGCUUCCUUUUACUGAAAAGGAGAUUGUAGGUGAAGAAGGGAUGGAAAGCAGCCACAUGGAAGAUGACCAGGUCAUGCUGUACAGUUGCUCUAGCAGGAGCCAUUGCUCUGUUACAAAGACAUCACAGAAACCAUAGGAAGAGUGUGGCUUAGCUAAGCCUUUCCUUCAACCACCAUAUGAAGACACCAUGUUGGAAACAGAUCCUCCAGCCCCAGUCAAAAUCUUCACCACAGCCUCAUGACAGAA